GACGAACGCUGGCGGCGUGCUUAACACAUGCAAGUCGAACGGAAAGGCCCUGCUUGCCGGGUACUCGAGUGGCGAACGGGUGAGUAACACGUGGGUGAUCUGCCCUGCACUUCGGGAUAAGCCUGGGAAACUGGGUCUAAUACCGGAUAGGAGCCAUUUUUAGUGUGAUGGUUGGAAAGUUUUUUCGGUGUAGGAUGAGCUCGCGGCCUAUCAGCUUGUUGGUGGGGUAAUGGCCUACCAAGGCGGCGACGGGUAGCCGGCCUGAGAGGGUGGACGGCCACAUUGGGACUGAGAUACGGCCCAGACUCCUACGGGAGGCAGCAGUGGGGAAUAUUGCACAAUGGGCGCAAGCCUGAUGCAGCGACGCCGCGUGGGGGAUGACGGCCUUCGGGUUGUAAACUCCUUUCGCUGGGGACGAAGCUUUUUGUGACGGUACCUAGAUAAGAAGCACCGGCUAACUACGUG
rnacentral:rRNA from 1 species